GCCGGAGUGGCGGAAUUGGCCGACGCGCCAGGUUGAGGGCCUGGUGACCGUAAAGGUCGUGCAGGUUCAAGUCCUGUCUCCGGCACCU
rnacentral:tRNA from 1 species